rnacentral:rRNA from 1 species
UACGGAGGGUGCAAGCGUUAUCCGGAUUCACUGGGUUUAAAGGGUGCGUAGGCGGAUAGGUAAGUCCGUGGUGAAAUCCUGUAGCUUAACUGCAGAACUGCCGUGGAUACUAUCUAUCUUGAAUGUCGUGGAGGUUAGCGGAAUAUGUCAUGUAGCGGUGAAAUGCUUAGAUAUGACAUAGAACACCCAUUGCGAAGGCAGCUAACUACGCGAUAAUUGACGCUGAUGCACGAAAGCGUGGGGAUCAAACAGG